rnacentral:tRNA from 1 species
ACUUUUAAAGGACAAUAGUACUCCACUAACCUUAGGCGUUAUCACUUCU